UCAUAGAACAUUCAAGUGAGACGUUUUCAUUAAUGAAGAACGCCAGAAAAUUAUAAUAAUAUAACAUAGGUGAUAUAGUACUUGAUAUAAGGUUGAAUAAUUAUGUGCCAGCAAUCGCGGUCAAACAUAAAGCCUAAUCUAUGACAACUUAGAAGAGAUUUAAAUGUUCACACUCAAAACAAUUAAUUUUUAACGGUAAAAUGUAAUUAAUAUAAUUCAAACAGAAAUUUUUAAAAAUCAUAAAACGUUUAACAGACCAGGACUAGAUACCCUGUUAUUAAAGACAAAUCUUCAACUUCAAAAGAUUGAAACAAAUUUUCUUAGAUUUAAGUUUAAUGGCAGUCGGGGAAUCAUAAUAGAGGGAUAUGUUCCAGUAAUCGAAGGUACACGAGAACCUGACUUAGUUUGGUAAUUUCACCUUACCCACCUCCGUCAAUGAAAUUUCUUUGGAAGUUUCAGUUACUACUAUUAUAGUAAUAAAGGCAGGUAAAAGUGUAGGAUAUGGCUAAGAUGGAAUGUAUCUCAUAACAUAUAGAUUUUAAACUAAUAAAUGUAAAAUUAGUUAAUAGAAUUUAUCAGUAACAUUUCCUGAGUAUGGUUUUGUGAAGAUGAUCUCUCCUUUGUACAAAUCGCCCGUCACUUCUUAGUCGUUCUAAGAAAAAGUCGAAACAUAGUAAGAUUACCGGAAGGUGAACUUGAUAAUAACUAUU
rnacentral:rRNA from 1 species